rnacentral:rRNA from 1 species
AGCGGACGCUGGCGGCAGCCUUAACACAUGCAAGUCGAGCGGGCACAGCAAUCUGUCAGCGGCAGACGGUUGAGUAACGCGUGGGAACGUACCUGUUGGUUCGAAACAACACAGGGAAACUUGUGCUAAUACCGGAUAAGCCCUAACGGGGAAAGAUUUAUCGCAGAAAGAUCGGCCCGGGUCUGAAUAGCUAGUUGGUGAGGUAAUGGGUCACCAAGGCGACGAUCAGUAGCUGGGCUGAGAGGAUGAUCAGCCACAUUGGGACUGAGACACGGCCCAAACUCCUACGGGAGGCAGCAGUGGGGAAUAUUGGACAAUGGGCGCAAGCCUGAUCCAGCCAUGCCGCGUGAGUGAUGAAGGCCCUAGGGUUGUAAAGCUCUUUUGUGCGGGAAGAUAAUGACGGUACCGCAAGAAUAAGCCCCGGCUAACUUCGUGCCAGCCGCCGCAGUAA